AGCAGCGCACGCACACAGAGGCGACGUUGUGUUGGGAGAACCGGGACGGCACAAACACCGCCGCUGUCCACCGUUUAUAGAAACGCUCGGGUGGGGAACACACUGGGGGAUUCAGCAGGCCGAUGGCGCAAUGCAGCCAAGAAUUUUAUUGUACAUCUGAGAGAGCUACAUUCUCAACAUUGUUCUCGCCAGUUCAAUACUUCAUCUAGCACCUUAAAGCUUUCUUUGGUUUGUCACUCUUGUAGGAACCCUUAAUAGUUCAACGUGGAACCCGACCAAAAAUGUUCUAGGAACAGCUAUAUUAGAGAAGGUUCCCCUUUAUAAGGCGAUCCACUUAAAACCUUUGAUGCGACGCAACCGUAGAGUACUAUUAACCUUAUUCAAAGGCUAAAAUCCAAGAACGAAAAGGAUCUUCACGGGUUCCUUGAUGCACUAUUAGAAACAUGGGUUAAAUAUAUAAUCUAAAAGGUUACUUCAGUUUGUCCCUUUUAAGGAACCCCGGAAGGUUUUAUUUCGAAACCUUCAGAAGGUUUCACUUUCAAAGAGAGUCUCAAGUAGAAUCAUUUCAGGAAGCAAAAAAAACUUUCUCUCCAUAGAACCUCUGAAGAAACCCCUACUCCGUACCCUGUGUGAAAGGGAAACCCGCUACGAUUUGAAAACCCUAGAGGAGUUCUAGAGUGAAACGUGUUUUUUCUAAAAGGGGUCGUUAUUAUCCUAAAGCAGUUCUACGUGGUAUUCUCUUUGAACGGGAUGCACUUUGUUGUGGGGUUCUACACGCAACCAUUAGGUCUUCCAGAGAGACAAGCUAAAGAACUAGUCAAUGAAACCUGGAGGAUCCAAUUUCCCAAAGACUCUCUAUUCGUGUACGAGUCCCUCAGUUGUCCUCGGUGUGAAAAGAUGGAUCUCAACGUCAUAUAGUCACUGUUGGAAAGGGGUCAAAUAUGCGGAAGAUGCUGGAAAAGUAAAGAACGUGCAGGACCUGGAGGAUUUGUCUGAAGAACAGUGGGCAGUUUAACUGCUCAGGACAAACAAGGGACUCGUGAACAACUCUUACAGAACAUAUAAACAGUCGCUGAUCAUCCAGAACUGAAACUCUGCACUUGCAUCCGUCUCCGCCUCCAAACCGUGACAGAACGUGACAGAGUCCACGAGGCCCUACAUGAAAGGGAAAAGCCGAGGUGGGAGAAGCAGGGAAAAUUUUCUCUAAUUCAAGCAAACCGGGAGUGGCUCGACAUGGUGUACUCCAUCAUAAGGUAUGUCAAGGAGGAGCCUUCCAACCAGGCUGGAACCAUCUCCCACCCUCGCUCACUGCGGAUUUCGUCCAGCCUGCCGGGUCGACGGAAAACUUAGUUCAGCUUCCCUGCUCAUCUGAGGACGCCGCUCAACAUCCCAGUUCAGCUGAAGACAUUGCUCCGCCACCCGGGGCAGCCAAGAGCUCCUCUAUACUUCCCUGCUCUGCUGAGGACGUCGCUCCUCCCUCUGGCUUCGUGGAGGACGUCGCUCCUCCCUCUGGCUUCGUGGAGGACGUCGCUACUCCCUCUGGCUUCGUGGAGGACGUCGCUCCUCCCUCUGGCUUCGUGGAGGACGUCGCUCCUCCCUCUGGCCUCACUGAGAACUUCCCUCUUCCCUCUGUUCUCGCAGAGAGCGUCGCUUCCCCCUUGGGGUCUCUCCACGCCCAAGCCAGUCUGGGGAUAGUGUAUCAUCUCUCUGCAGUACGGAAGAGACCAUCCCAUGUCCGUACCCCAGUGAACACGCCAAGUGUCCUCUUUAUGGUCCUGUGAGAGAUGACAUUCAAGGGAACUUUGAAACACUUGGGGACCUCUGGUCUGGGUAUCCAGGACCCCCUCCCAGACUUAGUACGCGCACUGGGAGCUGCGCGUUAAGGUGGAGGGGGGGGGGGUUCUGUCAUGGAUAAUCCAAAAGGGACUUUGUCUUUGUCUUCGUUAAGGUUUUAUUCUUGCCUUAGUGUUUUGCUUACUCUUCAUAGUUCUUGUUUUGUGCUUUGUUUUUGGUAUUCAUUAAAACUGAAAAUCUGCACUUG